rnacentral:misc_RNA from 1 species
UUUCGUAAUCUGGUGUUUGAGUUUCAAGGGUUGUUGAGAGGCUCCAAGCUGAUCAACCCAAGGAAAAAGAAGAAUGAAACAGUUGCUGUGAAUUUAGUUUCUCAUUUGAAUACUUUGAAUGAGUUUUUGAAGAUAUCUGACACAUUAAAAUCAAUACAUUCACUUAACCCUUCCAUUGUUGUCUUGGUGGAGCAAGAAGGAAGCAGAAGCACAAGAA